CCUACGGGAGGCAGCAGUGAGGAAUAUUGGUCAAUGGGCGGAAGCCUGAACCAGCCAAGUCGCGUGAGGGAAUAAGGCCCUACGGGUCGUAAACCUCUUUUGCCGGGGAGCAAGGGCGGGGACGUGUCCCGGCCCGGAGAGUACCCGGAGAAAAAGCAUCGGCUAACUCCGUGCCAGCAGCCGCGGUAAUACGUAGGUGGCAAGCGUUGUCCGGAAUUACUGGGUGUAAAGGGAGCGCAGGCGGGAAGCC
rnacentral:rRNA from 1 species